AGCGGCCUACGGGGCGCAGCAGUGAGGAAUAUUGGUCAAUGGUCGGGAGACUGAACCAGCCAAGCCGCGUGAGGGAUGAAGGUACAGAGUAUCGUAAACCUCUUUUGUCAGGGAACAAAGGCGGGGACGUGUCCCUGGAUGAGUGUACCUGAAGAAAAAGCAUCGGCUAACUCCGCGCCAGCAGCCGCGGUAAUACGGAGGAUGCGAGCGUCAUCCGGAUUUAUUGGGUUUAAAGGGUGCGCAGGCGGUCUGUUAAGUCAGCGGUCAAAGCCCGGGGCUCAACCCCGGCCCGCCGUUGAAACCGG
rnacentral:rRNA from 1 species